rnacentral:tRNA from 1 species
GAUCUUAUGGCCGAGGGGUUAAGGCGGGGUGCUGUUAAUACUCUUUUCAGAGGUUCGAAUCCUCUUGAGAUCU